UAGGGAAUCUUCGGCAAUGGACGAAAGUCUGACCGAGCAACGCCGCGUGAGUGAAGAAGGUUUUCGGAUCGUAAAACUCUGUUGGUAGAGAAGAACGUUGGUGAGAGUGGAAAGCUCAUCAAGUGACGGUAACUACCCAGAAAGGGACGGCUAACUACGUGCCAGCAGCCGCGGUAAUACGUAGGUCCCGAGCGUUGUCCGGAUUUAUUGGGCGUAAAGCGAGCGCAGGUGGUUUAUUAAGUCUGGUGUAAAAGGCAGUGGCUCAACCAUUGUAUGCAUUGGAAACUGGUAGACUUGAGUGCAGGAGAGGAGAGUGGAAUUCCAUGUGUAGCGGUGAAAUGCGUAGAUAUAUGGAGGAACACCGGUGGCGAAAGCGGCUCUCUGGCCUGUAACUGACACUGAGGCUCGAAAGCGUGGGGAGCAAACAGGAUUAGAUACCCUGGUAGUCCACGCCGUAAACGAUGAGUGCUA
rnacentral:rRNA from 1 species